rnacentral:rRNA from 1 species
GACGGAGGGCGUGGGUGUUAUUCGUUUUGAUUGGGUGUAAAGGGUAUGUAGGCGGCUUACUGUUUCUUGGCAAAAAGUGCGGAGUAUUCCUAUGCGAUUGUCUUUUGAGAUGUAGCUUGUGUUGAAGAUAGGUAGGGACAAGUUCUCAUGUAGAGGUAAAAUUCAUCGAUAUGAGAACGAACGUCAGCUGGCGAAGGCGCCUCUCCGGUUUCAACAGACGCUAAGGUACGGAAGCUUAGGUAGCAAACGGG